rnacentral:misc_RNA from 1 species
ACCUUUCAAAACAGGGUGCGUCGCGGCCCCCGAGGUGCGGAAACAAGCCUCGAGCGGUUUGGGGUCCUCCCCUUCACGCGCGCACGACUGCCAUCCUUACUUUACGAGCACCUUCUGUUCUCCCUCGGCGGGGCAACCUGCCGUUGGAACCGAAUAAACUCUUUUUGCAUCUAGCAUUACCUGUUCCGAAACAACAAUCGUUA